GCGAGGGUACCCUCGCCUUCUCUUUGUUGGGCUUCGGGGGUUGGGCGCCAUUUUGCGCGGCGGCUGAGUGGAGGCGCUGAUUGGGUUUCGGGGACCGGUGGCGGAGCCAAUCAGAGCGGGACCCGAACCGGGGGAGCAAGGCACGAUUUCUGAUUGAAGAUUGGAUAAAAAAUUGAUAUAGAAAACUAUGGAGCAGUACACCACAAACAGCAGUAGCUCAACAGAACAGAUAGUUGUGCAGGCUGGACAAAUACAGCAACAGCAGCAGGGUGGUGUGACUGCUGUCCAGUUGCAGACUGAGGCUCAGGUGGCAUCUGCCUCAGGCCAGCAAGUUCAGACCCUCCAGGUAGUCCAGGGUCAGCCACUGAUGGUACAAGUGAGUGGAGGCCAACUAAUCACAUCAACUGGUCAACCAAUUAUGGUACAGGCUGUACCUGGAAGCCAGGGUCAAACUAUUAUGCAAGUUCCAGUUUCAGGAUCACAAGGACUUCAGCAGAUUCAGUUGGUCCAGCCUAGUCAGAUUCAGAUUCAAGGUGGACAAGCGGUACAAGUUCAGGGCCAGCAGGGCCAGACACAGCAAAUCAUCAUCCAGCAGCCACAGACAGCAGUAACAGCUGGCCAAACACAGACGCAGCCACAGAUUGCAGUCCAAGGACAACAGGUAGCGCAGACAGCAGAAGGUCAGACAAUUGUCUAUCAACCAGUUAAUGCUGAUGGAACAAUUCUUCAACAAGUUACAGUCCCUGUUACAGGCAUGAUCACCAUCCCAGCAGCCAGUUUGGCUGGAGCACAGAUUGUUCAGACUGGAGCCAACACCAAUACAACUAGCAGUGGACAAGGGACAGUAACAGUGACUCUGCCUGUUGCUGGAAAUGUGGUUAACUCUGGUGGAAUGGUCAUGAUGGUGCCAGGUGCUGGCUCAGUGCCAGCUAUCCAAAGAAUACCUUUGCCUGGGGCUGAGAUGUUGGAGGAAGAGCCUCUGUAUGUAAAUGCAAAACAGUAUCACCGGAUUUUGAAGAGAAGGCAAGCAAGAGCCAAGUUAGAAGCUGAAGGAAAAAUACCUAAAGAGAGGAGGAAAUAUCUCCAUGAAUCCCGACAUCGGCAUGCGAUGGCAAGGAAACGAGGAGAAGGAGGACGUUUCUUUUCUCCAAAAGAAAAAGAUAGUCCCCAUAUGCAGCUUAGUUACUAAAAAACUAUGGAACACUUAAGUAAUACAUCUCAGAAAAUAGUCAUCUCCAGGUGAGGGAUUCUGGCCAGGCAAGUGAAGAAGCUAUGACACAGAUGAUUAGAGUAUCCUAACAACCAACUAAAUAACAAAACAUCUGGACAAACAUCUUGUGUCUCUGCAAUUGUUCCUUCUCCUUUCUAUCAAAUCAACUUCCGAAGGGGAAAAUUUGCUACAACCUUGUUCUUUAUCAGAACAAAUAAUACACUCGCAGUGAGUCAUUUGUUUUAGCUUUUAAAUGCAGUGGAUUCAAUCAGCUGAGGUACUAAUGGAGUGUCCAUUCACCCUUCUCAGACCAAGGAUUGAAAAUCUGGCUCAAGAGACCUUUAACAUUCUUGGCAGGACAAUGGCCCAUCUUGAUAGCAAUAGCAAUAACUGACUUGUUAUAGGACAGCUAUACCGUUUGAAAACUAUGGGGUUUGAACCACAUAGAAAUACUAAUGUUGGAAACAGCCAGAGCUGACAUGUUUUGUUUUCUCAGUGUGAUUUUUUUAGUCUCACAGAUGCCGCUUUUUAUUAGGAUUGUUACUACUUUCUAGCAGCAUAACUUUCUAUUGUUGAAGCAUAAUCUCUCAUAAAAUCUUGACAAGAUGCCAAAAGUUGUCCUUGAAAUACUGUCCAUCAUAUAUCUAUCUGGGACAAAAUUAAUCUCAUCUCAGGGAAUGGGCAUUGAGGGAGGGGUAUCUGAUUUUAUGGCUAGUAAAGUGUUUUGUAGCAGAAUUGUGGUUUUGACAGUUAAGUUCAUUAACUUGUUCCCCUAGAACCUGGCCAUGCAGGUUGUGAAUGUCUCCAGUUAUGUAAACUAAUCCUUUGCCUGGACCCAUUGAUUUUCUGUGAUCAAAGGAUAAGAUGCAAUACUGAACUGUGAACAUCAGACAGUAUGUAAGGACUGUAUCAUUCAUGUAACCAAAUCAAAAUUCUAUAUAUCCUGUCAAAAUUCAGACUGCUUUGGAUAUGAAAAUAUAAACUCUCCUUUCAAAUUUUACAUAUAAUGUACUUUAUAAAUCUAACUUCAAAAUCUAUUAUUUCCUCUUGUGAAGAGCUUUUUCUUCCCUUUGGUCCUGAAUGACCAAGUUUUAUGUUUUAUUCUUACACAAAACUGCAAAACCAUGAUGUUUUUUUGCAAUCUCACUUGAUCAUUCAGAUUUUGACAUCAAAUCUGACAUUCCUUCCUGCACAUACCGCUUUGUUUCAUUUGUAUAUCUUCCAUUACUUAAUUCUGGUAAACGUCGAGAGGUCUGCUUUUCAGCCCUUCAGUUGCUCAGCAAAUCUGAGAAUGGAGGAAUACUGGAGUUGGUCUGUUAUGAAAAACAGCAGUGGGCUUGACACACAAGUGCUACGUACAAAAAGUGGUCUGGUAAUUGACCAAUACAUUUUUAAAGGGGGUCUUGUGAUUUUGGAAGAAGUGGUUCUUUACUGGAAAAAGUAAACAUUGGUCCUCACUUAAAUUUUGUUGUAGCUUGGAAAAGUCUGCCUUCACAAAAUUCCUUUUUUACUUGAAAUAGAAGCAAGUUCAAAAGGGAUGAAGAGUGUGUGUAAAUGCAAAUUAUUGUUAUUAAAAAUAACAAUGAUAUUUAACAGGCUGGUAAACCUUUGGAAUUAGUUUUGACAAAUUUCAACUUGAAGUUGGGUGUGGACUGAAUUUUAAGGGGUUGCUGGUCACAUGCAGUUCAGUGCUCUAACUUAAACUCUUGGCAGCAAAUGGAUUUCUUUCAUUUGGUAUCUGUAAAGUCCUGUUUAAGUCUGUAUUAUAGCUUGUGUAUUUAUAAAUGUGUUUCUUCAGUCUUUCUGAUCUUUAUAUUUUCAGUAUACUGAGCAUUUGAUUAUUGUCUUGUUUCUCAGCCGGCUGCUUCAGCAUGUAGCAUUUCUCUUCACUGUUUUAAAUAACAAAUAUCUGAUUGGUAUUUAAGUGAUGGUAUUAGUGAAGGAACAAUGAAUGCUUUGUGGGUGGGGAAUGGAUUUUCGUUUCUACUAUUGUUGUAUAUUGGCCUUCCUACAUCUUUUAUCUUCCAGAUGUGUUUAGGUCCAUCGCUCCUAUAAUUCCCAUUGACAAUUCCCAAAGGCUAUGCUUUCUGGGAAUUCUUGGGAUUGAUCCCAAAAUAUCUAUAGAACAUCAGGUUUGGGAGGUUAUUGUAAAUAUUAAAAGCACUGAUGCAUUUUGAAAUAAUGCUGAAUGAGGGGAAGAUACUGUAUUGUUUGGGUUAGGGAUUUUUCUUCCCAUAAAUUCCUCUUUUCAGAUGUCAUUUUAAUACUGCAUAUUGGGAUAUUAAGAGAAUCAAGGUUCUCCUAAUUCUAAUGUAUAUUUAAAACGUAACAAUACAUUUGCAACUUAAAAUUAUCUAGCCAUUGCAAUCUUUACAUUUAUUAAAAAUAGAAAUAAAAAUGGUCUUUGUGAUUUCUGUAUGUAGAUGAAGCAGAAACCUAUUUAAUUUUAGUCUAGAAAAUUUUUAUAGUUAGUUUUUUUCUGUAAUGGUGUAAAUUACCUGAUAGAAUCUAUUAUUCCAAUGGCUUAGAUUUCAUGUGUGUAAGACAAAUAUAUUUCAAACUAUUUUUUAAUCUUGGGAAUCUCAAACUACAAUAUGAUGCAAAAUGUUUUGUUCUUAAGCAAAAAUUAAAAGUAAAGUAAUACCAAAUGCAAACUCUUAAUUAGAAAUGAAAAGAGAGAACAUGACAUGCUUAAUUGGAAAUAGACUUAAGGAUAAAGAUGUAAUGUAAAGAUGUUGGGUUUAAGGAAGGUGUGCAUUGUUCUUUUGAAUUAGAAAGCACUGGAAUGUUGAGCCUAUAUAAAGUGGUUUAAUACUUAGGGAGGGAAUAGGUAAUCCCCAAGUGAUGCUUUUUCCAAAAUUUUGCAUGUAAAAAUAUUUUUUAUUUUUCUUUUCUUUUGGGUUAUGAAUGGAGCUGGGGCAUUGAUAUUUGUGAAAUUGUAAUGCAAAGUUUGUAUAUAGUUCAAAAGUUUAUAAUUUUUUAUUCUGCAUUUUGAAGUGUAUUUUGUCUUUAAUAGAUACAACUGUAAGUACUGUGUACACUAUUAAACCAAUAAAAUGUUUAUAAAAUA